AUUGAACGCUGGCGGCAGGCUUAACACAUGCAAGUCGAGCGGAGAUGAGGUGCUUGCACCUUAUCUUAGCGGCGGACGGGUGAGUAAUGCUUAGGAAUCUGCCUAUUAGUGGGGGACAACAUUCCGAAAGGAAUGCUAAUACCGCAUACGUCCUACGGGAGAAAGCAGGGGAUCUUCGGACCUUGCGCUAAUAGAUGAGCCUAAGUCGGAUUAGCUAGUUGGUGGGGUAAAGGCCUACCAAGGCGACGAUCUGUAGCGGGUCUGAGAGGAUGAUCCGCCACACUGGGACUGAGACACGGCCCAGACUCCUACGGGAGGCAGCAGUGGGGAAUAUUGGACAAUGGGGGGAACCCUGAUCCAGCCAUGCCGCGUGUGUGAAGAAGGCCUUAUGGUUGUAAAGCACUUUAAGCGAGGAGGAGGCUACUGAGACUAAUACUCUAGAGAUAGUGGACGUUACUCGCAGAAUAAGCACCGGCUAACUCUGUGCCAGCCGCCGCCGUAACAC
rnacentral:rRNA from 1 species